CUGGCUAUGAGAUAUAAUAAAUGCGUAAGAAUAUUAAAGACGGAAAUAAAAAAAUUUCUGAGCAAAUAAUUUUUUCAAGAAAAAAGACGAAAUAGCUAUUCAUUCGAUGAAUAACCUAUGUCGUGUAGAGAGAUUGGUAUGUCGAAAUGAUAUUCUGUUUUAAGAUUUAACGGUAAUAUGUCGUGAAGAGUCAUAUUAGCCGAUAAAAGUUUUUCUCGAAAAAUGUGUAAAAAUUGGACGAAAUAAAAAUGACGAAAGGAAGCUUAUAAAAGAGAAGCAAAAAUUCAACCAACACUUAAGAGAGAGAAAGAGAAAUUCGGAUGGAAGAAGGAAAGGAAGAAAAAGCUAGCUCAAUUUGCA
rnacentral:lncRNA from 1 species